rnacentral:rRNA from 1 species
GAUGAACGCUGGCGGCGUGCCUAAUACAUGCAAGUCGAGCGGCAGCACGGUCUUCGGACUGGUGGCGAGCGGCGGACGGCUGAGUAACGCGUAGGAACGUACCCCAAAGUGAGGGAUAACUGCUCGAAAGAGUAGCUAAUACCGCAUGUGAUCUAAGGAUUAAAGCUUCGGCGCUUUGGGAACGGCCUGCGUCCGAUUAGCUAGUUGGUGAGGUAAAAGCUCACCAAGGCGACGAUCGGUAGCUGGUCUGAGAGGAUGAUCAGCCAGACUGGGACUGAGACACGGCCCAGACUCCUACGGGAGGCAGCAGUAGGGAAUUUUCCACAAUGGGCGAAAGCCUGAUGGAGCAACGCCGCGUGCAGGAUGAAUGCCUUAGGGUUGUAAACUGCUUUUAUAUGUGACGAAUAUGACGGUAGCAUAUGAAUAAGGAUCGGCUAACUCCGUGCCAGCAGCCGCCGUAAAAC